AGGGAUGAACGUUCUAUAUCAGCUGCUGCAAAUCCAUUAGAAGUUGUGGAUCCAAGGCCAAGAGUCUCGCUAACACUAGGGCUUAUUGAGCUAGCAACGUAAACAGUGAUAGGGCAGGAGUCAUGAGAAAUUCCCCGUAUGUGCGUUUCCCAAAGGAUAUUAGAAAGUGACAAUAUAGCAGCAGGAUUAUCACUUAUUACACGGACUUUCGCAUCGCGUUCUUCAGAUGAUCCAAUAGCCCCAUCUUGAACAAAGAUCUUGGAAGUGGAUGAAAGGUGAGACGAAACCAGCUUCAAGAGUUUGCCAAAUUGAGCCUUUGAAAUUUUAGAAGCUUGUUCGGAAUUUUCUGCGUCUGCUGGGACUGAUCUGUCUGGUGCGGUGAAGAUGACGCUUUACCGUACCAGUCCCAUUAGUACG
rnacentral:misc_RNA from 1 species